AGCGGCGCGGCGCGGCGCCGGGAGGUGGGUUGUCGGCCAGCGCGACGGGCGGAGAUAAAUGUUCUUGAUGCAAGCAGAACCGGAAUGAUCUGGUCAUUUACCAAAACUCACUGAAGCAAACCCUUGUGAUAACUCCGGACAGUGUACCAUCCCAGGUGGAAAGGGUAUGGGAUGGCAAACAGGUUAGCAGAGAAGCCUCGGACAGAUCGCUGGUGGAUUUAGCUGCUCUUCGCCCCCUCCUGGCAGCCCCGGGCCUCCUCCUGGGCACGCCCUGUGCUAUGGACUCCCCGGGCUACAACUGCUUUGUGGACAGAGAUAAGAUGGACGCCACCAUCCAGGACCUGGGGCCCAAGGAGCUGAGCUGCACCGAGCUGCAGGAGCUGAAGCAGCUGGCGCGCCAGGGCUACUGGGCCCGCAGCUACACCCUGCGGGGGAAGGUGUACCAGCGCCUGAUCCGGGACAUCCCCUGCCGCACGGUCACACCAGAUGCCAGUGUGUACAGUGACAUCGUCGGCAAGAUCGUGGGCAAGCACAGCAGUGGUAGCUUGCCCUUGCCCGAGUUUGUGGACAACACGCAGGUGCCCAGCUACUGCCUGAACACUCGGGGCGAGGGCGCCGUGCGUAAGAUCCUGCUGUGCAUCGCCAACCAGUUCCCUGAUGUCUCCUUCUGCCCCGCGCUGCCUGCGGUCGUGGCCUUGCUGCUCCACUACAGCAUUGACGAGGCCGAGUGCUUCGAGAAGGCCUGCCGCAUCCUGGCCUGCAACGACCCCAGCAAGAAGCUAAUCGACCAGAGCUUCCUGGCCUUCGAGUCUUCCUGCAUGACGUUCGGGGACCUGGUGAACAAGUACUGCCAGGCAGCCCACAAGCUGAUGGUGGCCGUUUCAGAGGACGUCCUGCAGGUCUAUGCGGACUGGCAGCGCUGGCUGUUUGGGGAGCUGCCCCUCAACUACUUUGCUCGCGUCUUUGACGUCUUCCUGGUGGAAGGUUACAAGGUGCUGUACCGCGUGGCGCUGGCAAUCCUCAAAUUCUUCCACAAGGUGAGAGCUGGGCAGCCACUGGAGUCAGACAACGUGAAGCAGGACAUCCGCACCUUUGUCAAGGACAUCGCCAAGACUGUGUCUCCCGAGAAGCUUCUGGAGAAAGCGUUUGCCAUCCGCCUCUUUUCUCGGAAGGAGAUUCAGCUCCUGCAGAUGGCCAAUGAGAAAGCUCUGAAGCAGAAGGGCAUCACCGUCAAGCAGAAGAGUGUUUCACUUUCUAAAAGGCAGUUUGUGCACCUGGCUGUUCACGCGGAGAACUUCCACUCAGAGAUCGUCGGCGUGAAGGAGAUGAGAGACAUCUGGUCAUGGGUCCCUGAGCGGUUCGCCCUCUGCCAGCCCCUCUUGCUCUUCUCCUCACUGCAGCACGGGUACAGCCUGACCAGGUUCUAUUUCCAGUGUGAAGGACACGAGCCCACCCUCCUGCUCAUCAAGACCACGCAAAAGGAGGUAUGUGGAGCUUACCUGUCAACAGACUGGAGCGAGAGAAACAAGUUUGGAGGCAAGCUGGGCUUCUUUGGUACCGGAGAAUGCUUCGUGUUUAGGCUGCAGCCCGAGGUCCAGCGCUACGAGUGGGUGGUCAUCAAACAUCCGGAGCUGACCAAGCCUGUGUCCUUGGAGUCUACCACCAUUCUGUCCUCGCCCUGCCGCUCUUUGUCCUCAGACCCUGCUGACCGCCUCUCGCCGUUCCUGGCUGCUCGACACUUCAACCUGCCCUCCAAGACGGAGUCCUUGUUCAUGGCCGGGGGCAACGACUGCCUCAUCAUAGGUGGAGGGGGCGGCCAGGCGCUCUACAUCGACGGGGACCUGAACCGGGGCCGCACAGGCCACUGCGACACUUUCAACAACCAGCCCCUCUGCUCUGAGAACUUCCUCAUCGCUGCCGUGGAGGCCUGGGGCUUCCAAGACCCUGACACCCAGUGACAGGCGUGAGCUAACGAGCCUGAUGCUUCUGCUGGGCCUCAGUGUGUAGUCACGCCUAAAGAGGCCGCCCAGGGAGGGGCCUUCCGUGACUGACCUCAAACCAGCCAACAUUUCCAGGGGCCUGCCUGGAGAAGCCUGGACCCCUGGAACCUUUUUCAGCCCUCCUCCUCUCCAGCUCGGGCCCUCCUUAGCUCCCCUCCAGUCCUUGCGGCGGCCGCAUUUCGCUGCAGUGACGUGGCCCAGGAUCCUAUCCAGACCACUCAGCACUCAGUGCUGGCCUUGUCCAGCCCUACCCAUCUCACCUUCAUUGUGCUCCACACGCCUUCCCCAGCUCCCUGCCCCCGAGGCACCUUCCUGACGCACCCCUCUGCAUGGUACGAGUUCUCCCUCUGUGUCUCUCAGGGCUGUGUGAGCCCUGCAGGGAGUGGCCCUCCCACCCCAUGACCUCCCUCAGCUGGUCCUGAGGGCCUGGGCACACCCCUGAGGAAAGAGAGGAGAAGCGGACACCCAAGGGGCUGUGCCAAGGCCAUGGCAGCCUGGGCCACAGAUGCCAGGGGGUCCUGCCUCUCCAUGUCCCCACAUGCCACGCCUCUGUCCUCCACACCUUGCUUGCUCUUCCUGUGGGGUGCUCAUCCUCCCCUGCCCACCUACUCAGAUCCCCCCGAGCCAGGCCGAAGUGAUACAGAAGGAAGGACCGGGAACCCUGUGUGGCUUUGGGCAAGCUAGUGAACCUGUCUGGAACUCAGUUUCCCCAACUGUAAAAUGGGGCCAGUCAUCCUGCUGUGCUGUCCCCACAGGACUGCUGAGAGGCUCUGAGGGGCCAGUGUGAAUCCCUGUAGAAGGGAGAGGUGUUGGGAGGUGGUGUCACAGCUUACCCCCCCCUCACCAGACCCUGCAGCCCUCGCUGCCCCCUGUCUUUGAGCCCCCACAGCCCUCACCUAUACUUUGGUGUUCAUUAAACACGGUCUCGUUACAUGAACUCCAGGGAUCCCGAGUCCGGUUUCUUCAAUUAGGGGGACCUCCCGGGCCUACCCGCCCCUAGGCAUGCCACCGAACGGGGUGCAGCCUCCUGCUUGUCAGUGUUCUAUCACGGGAACGUCAAAGGCCUUUUAAAAGCACAGCCUUUCAGAAGCAGCUGAAGGCAUACCUGAGCGCUAUUUGCAUGGCCCCCUCUGUAAACUUCCUGAACUGGGGUGUUCUUUUUCUGGUGAGUAAGUCCAGAGGGUUCUCUGUGGCUGCCCCAAGGGCCCCCAGAGGUCUGGCCCAGGGAGGGUGACUGCUGAUUAGUCACGAUUUCUGUAUCAUGAGAUCUUCAUGUGUGCAUGCAAAAUAUUCAGUUUCUUUGAAUUUCACAUCUUCUCCCUAACUUUUCUGCUAAACUAAAAGGUAUGUGGUUAUUAUCUUUAUUUUUUAUUCUUACUAUUGUCCUUGUUAUCUGAUGUUAGGUGUUAAUGUUCUCUAUUAUUUCUUCCUGAUUAUUACUAGCAUUUUAUGUUAAAAAUUAGCCAAAGUUUUAUGGAUUUGCAUAAUGAAUUAUUUGUUUUUCUAGAAACAUUUGAAAAUUUAUUUUAAAAACAAAAAAUUAGGGACUUCCCCGGUGGCACAGUGGUUCAGAAUCCACCUGCCAAUGCAGGGGACACGGGUUCGAUCCCUGGUCUGGGAAGAUCCCACAUGCUGUGGAACAACUAAGCCCGUGUGCCACAACUACUGAGCCUGCGCUAUAGAGCUGCAAGCCACAACUAUUGAAGCCUGCGCACCUAGAGCCCGUGCUCCACAACAAGAGAAGCCACCACAAUGAGAAGCCCACGCACUGCAACGAAGAGUAGCCCCCGCUCACUGCAACUGCAGAAAGCCCACGCGCAGCAACAAAGACCCAACACAGCCAAAAAUUAAUUAAUUUUAAAAAAUUUUUAAAAUAAAAAGAAAAACAAAAAAUUGAACAUAGAUUAAACCAGUUCAUUAUCAAAGUGGAUUGUAUGCAUUUAAGGCUUUAGAAGAUCAGUUUUUCAAAAAUUUGUGAUACAAGAGUAAGUCAUUUGUACUUUAUGAGUUUUUCAGUUUUAAUUAUUGAAUUAAAAUAAGUAUUUUGGACUUCCCUGGUGGCACAGUGGUUAAGAAUCCACCUGCCAAUGCAGGGGACACGGGUUCGAGCCCUGGUCCGGGAAGAUCCCACAUGCCGCGGAGCAACUAAGCCCGUGCGCCACAACUACUGAGCCUGUGCUCUAGAGCCCGCGAGCCACAGCUACUGAGCCGCGUGCCACAACUGCCUAGAGCCCGUGCUCCACAACAAGAGAAGCCACCACAAUGAGAAGCCCGGACACCGCAACGAAGAGUAGCCCCCACUCGCCACAACUAGAGAAAGCCUGCACACAGCAACAAUGAAGACCCAAUGCAGCCAUAAAUAAAUAAAUAAAAUUUAAAAAAAUAAGUAUUUCAAUUUUUCCUAUUUUUAUAAGUUCCAUGCUUAUUAUUUUUUUCAGGUUUUCAGGGCAACUUGUUUUAGAAAAUUCUGACGAUUUCACAAGACCUUCAGAUUUAUCUAUUUCCUGAAGCCACAGAGCCUUUGUAAUAGUCUUCUUACAUAUUUUAUGUUUAGUAGAUUCAGUUUUUGUCACUUUAUUUUGAAAUAAUUUUUGAUUUACAGAAGAGUUUCACGGAUGGUAUAGAGCUCCCACAACCCCUCCCCACCCUCCCUCAGUGUUAACAGUGCGUGUUUAUCAAACCUAAGAAAUGACCAUUAGUACGAUGCUGGAAACUUAAACUGCAGUCUGUGUUUAGAUUCCCUCAGUUUUUCUAUAGUCGUUUUUGUUCCAGGAACAGAUUUAAUUUUUAUAACUGUUUACUUCCCCACAUUUUAAUUGAAUCCUGAAUGUCAUCAAGUUCACAUGACUAACACCGGUCAAAAAAAAAUUGCCAUAAUUAGGCCGUACAGCGACUGCAUCAAAUAUGUAUUCCUAUAUCUCAACAGUCCUCCCCCAACUGUCAUGUUUGCACAGAGAAGUCGCCAAAUGAGGCAGGAGUGCCAGGCACACCUCGCAGGUGCUUCACCCUACGAUGUCAAGUUAGGCAGAAAGAAAAGCAUUUGCAUGUUUAAAAAUAACCUGUUGUAAAACAAAAAAAGAAUGUAUGAUCUUCGUUAUAUACGUGUCAGACUGCUCGAAGUUAGGUGCAGUGUCAUGUGACUCAUGUCUGGAGCUGAAAUGCCUCCCACGUGUGCAGACCCACUCAUUUCACCCGACCGCGUGGAAUUUAUCAACACUGCACUUGGCGACCAAGGAAGCAAAGUCAGUGGACACACUCACACAGACACUGACCCAUGGUGUGACAUGGGACACACCAACUAACAAAAGCUUCCGCCUUAGACCGCUAAAGCCCAGGUGUGGCUGCUCAGUUAGGUUCCCCAUUAGAUGCGCCCCUGGUUGCAGGGAGCCUGCAGGUCUGAUCCUGUCCAGUGAUAUGGUUGACAAUGUGGUGAAGCUAGCUCAAUCCAAGCUAUCCCCGCCCCUGUUUUUAUCUUCACACAAAGAUACAGGAGCAAACCCCUGUUCUAUUUCACCCUGAAGUGCGUUGACUGGCAAAGAACACGUUUUGUCAAAAGUUUACAAGCUAAAGAUCGAAGAGAAGAGCAGUGUGAAUAAUUUUACCUUCUUGUUCUUGUCUAGGAUGGUUAUUGGCUGAAAAAUGGAUUACUGGACUGACACUUUGGAGCAUUUAAAUGAAUGUAAAAAAAAAUUCUGAGGACCCUGUGGAAAUACGUGUAGUGAGCGAAUGUGUAACUUUGAAGCAAAAUCUAACUUUGGAAAAUGGGAUGGGAAUUCCUGAAGGAACCACUGGACAUGAAUUUGAGGGACUGCAUUAGCUGAUCAUGAUCAACGGGGAGAAGUUUCUUCAUUCCAGAGAUAGAUCCUCUGCUGCCACUGGUGCCAACCAAGUCUUCCCCUGAUGGAUUUUGUCUGCUGUCGUUCACGGCGCCUGGCAUGUGGACGUGCUCCGUAAACAUGAGGAAUGGCCAUCAGAAAAUGUCGCCCAAACUUCUCCGUCCAGAAUUGCAAGGAUCCCUGUCCGUGUAAAACUCAGUGUCAAAAAAGUCAUGCUCAUUCAAAAUAAGCAUAUUCUAUCUGGAAGUUUAUAGAAGUCACUAUGAAUGUUUU